rnacentral:rRNA from 1 species
CCUACGGGUGGCUGCAGUGAGGAAUAUUGGUCAAUGGGCGCGAGCCUGAACCAGCCAUGUAGCGUGAAGGAUGAAUGCCCUACGGGUUGUAAACUUCUUUUAUAAAGGAAUAAAGUGAGGAACGUGUGCCUUUUUGUAUGUACUUUAUGAAUAAGGAUCGGAUAACUCCGUGCCAGCAGCCGAGGUAAUACGGAGGAUCCGAGCGUUAGCCGGAUUUAUUGGGUUUAAAGGGAGCGUAGAUGGGUUGUUAAGUCAGUUGUGAAAGUUUGCGGCUCAACCGUAAAAUUGCAAUUGAUACUGGCAGCCUUGAGUACAGUUGAGGUAGGCGGAAUUCGUGGUGUAGCGGUGAAAUGCUUAGAUAUCACGAAGAACUCCGAUUGCGAAGGCAGCUUACUAAACUGCCACUGACAUUGAUGCUCGAAAGUGUGGGUAUCAAACAGGAUUAGAUACCCGUGUAGUC